rnacentral:rRNA from 1 species
ACUCCUGCGGGAGGCAGCAGUGGGGAAUUUUGGACAAUGGGCGAAAGCCUGAUCCAGCAAUGCCGCGUGAGUGAAGAAGGCCUUCGGGUUGUAAAGCUCUUUUGUCAGGGAAGAAACGGUGAAAGCUAAUAUCUUUUGCUAAUGACGGUACCUGAAGAAUAAGCACCGGCUAACUACGUGCCAGCAGCCGCGGUAAUACGUAGGGUGCAAGCGUUAAUCGGAAUUACUGGGCGUAAAGCGUGCGCAGGCGGUUUUGUAAGUCUGAUGUGAAAUCCCCGGGCUCAACCUGGGAAUUGCAUUGGAGACUGCAAGGCUAGAAUCUGGCAGAGGGGGGUAGAAUUCCACGUGUAGCAGUGAAAUGCGUAGAUAUGUGGAGGAACACCGAUGGCGAAGGCAGCCCCCUGGGUCAAGAUUGACGCUCAUGCACGAAAGCGUGGGGAGCAAACAGGAUUAGAAACCCCUGUAGUCCCAUG